AGCUCCACAGUGGAGGAGAGGAGCUCCUGAAACCGGAGCGUCCACUGAGCGGCGCCGCAGCCCGCAACUUCCACAGCCAACCAGCCAGCGCUUCCUCCCUGCAACACGCUGCAGGCCAAUCCGCUCACCCACUCCUCCGCGUUGGGUUACUGUGACAAGGGCCCUGUCUGAACCACGACUUUUAGAAAGAUAAUAUUACAGGCCCACAGCUGAUCCAUCCCCCAGUACACAAUUGAGACAGAGGAGGUUAAAGCACUCUGAACGCAUGGGACCAUAUUGCAGGUAUUUGUGCCUGUGGCAGGGUCUUGGUCUUUUGUUCUCCUCCUGCUCCUCCUCUGCAUCACAAGACGACCCGCAUGCACACGAGCUUCAGACAGCGCCUCCCAGCACUCCUCCAUGUUCUCCUCCAUCUGCCUUCUCUCCAUUGAUCAGCCUUCCAGGGCAUCAGUCUGUUUAACAUCUGCUACAAGUUCCAGCAGCUCAGAUGCGCAGAGGCUGUAAUGAAGAGCUCUUGAACUCCCAGUCAGAGAAGCUGUGACAGGAGUUCAGGAGGAUGCCUCUUUGGCUCUGCUGGAAAGGGACCUCCACUGUGGAUGAAAUUUAGCCCCGACCUCUGACCUUUGGGUUCAGCGCUUGUCUCCAGUCCAGUGACCACAAACAACUCCUGGAUUGCUGUAAAUGUCAGUGCAGCGGUGUCUCCGCCCUCGCCCCUGUGAACCAUAGGGCUGCACUCAACCUGCACUAAUAGGACACUUUCAUGAGAGCUCCAUUAUCAGUUAUGCUGUAUUUGAUAUCUCAGAUUUCCUCCUUAUGAUGCCUCUAUGAACUGAAGGACUGUCACCAAACAAACAGCAAUAAAGGGUCUGUCUUUUACACUUCUUAAAAAUAUUAUUUUAUUCAGCAAACAUUAAAUUUGUUAGCACCCAGCUUAAAGUGCUUGACACAGCCCAAAAAUAUGAAUUAUUGUAAUCAUUUACAUUUUAUAUCGGAAAUGUACGCUUUUAGAUGCAGAGUUUUAAAAUGUAUUGCCUAAAGAGUGCACGGUGAGCUGUUGGAAGUGACCCAUUUAGCACACAAAGCAGCUGGUACCAUCUAUCAUAAGGCUCAGUUAUAAUAGAUUGUAAUUCAUGUUCUGAAGACAUUGGUUGUAAUGCAUCCCAUUUUGAAGCACUUUGGCUCGCCCUUCCCCCACCCAUAAACACACACGCUCCCUUUCUCUCCUCUCCGGGCCUCCCGAGGUUGGUGUCUCUGCGUUAGGACUCUAUUGUUGCCUACUGCUGGAUAAUGCCCUUAUUAAUUGUACCUCUUUGUAAGGUGUCAGCUGUAGCCUCAGAUUGAGAUGGAUGGAUCUCUGGAGUCUGCUCCCUGGCCCUCCACAGACGCUCUAUCUCUGCACAACACACAGAUGCAACAGCGACAACAUCAGUAUCCCAAGUGAACAAGGAGGAUUUUUUUCCCCUCCUCUCUUCAUCGCCCACUGCGCUGUUCUCCGCUGCCAGAGGUCGACCAGUUCUGUCGCAGUGACUUCAACCAAACCACUAAUUGUUACUCUUUAAUAGCGCCUGAAUUUGCCCCACUCAGGCUCGUGCAAAGCUGUGUAAAAAUUAU